CUCAGCCUGUAUAGCCUAGUUAACAUAAUAUGAGUUAAUGUUAAUAUAGCAACUGCUUUUAAAAUCAUCACUCUUUGUUUGGUGUCGGAAAAGUCGUACCGAUCAGACUUACGCAUUACCUAAGCCUGUAUUGAUGGAUUAUUAUGUAUUUUCUCAGCCUGUAUAGCCUAGUUAACAUAAUUCGAGUUAAUGUUAAUAUAUCAACUGCUUUUAAAAUCAUUGCUUCUCGUAUGGUGUCGGAAAAGUCGUACCACUCAGACUUACACAUAACCUAACCCUGUAUUACUAGAUUAUUAUGUAUUUUCUCAGCCUGUUAGCCUAGUUCAUACAAGAGGCAAUACAUAAAUGUGUCUGGUAACAGUUUUCUGGGCACCUCACAAUCAUGUAUCAUCCCCUACCUGUAUCCUGUUAACUAGCCUCCUGUUAUGUGUUAUGUCAGCUUGUAUAGCCUAGUCAAUACAAUACCAGCUGAGUUAAUAGAUAUAUGUACCUGGUAAGACUUUUUCCAGCACCUCACGCUUCUGUUUUUACCCUGAAAGUGAUGUUUACGAGUACUCUUAAGAUUGAUUUUAGAAUGAGACAAACUCCAUAGAUUUGUGAGUACUCUUAAGAUUGAUUUUAGAAAGAGACAAACCCCAUAGAUUUGUGAGUACUCUUAAGAUUGAUUUUAGAAUGAGACAAACUCCAUAGAUUUGUGAGUACUCUUAAGGUUGAUUUUAGAAUGAGACAAACCCCAUAGAUUUGUGAGUACUCUUAAGAUUGAUUUUAGAAUGAGACAAACUCCAUAGAUUUGUGAGUACUCUUAAGAUUGAUUUUAGAAUGAGACAAACUCCAUAGAUUUGUGAGUACUCUGAAAGUGAUGUUAUGAGUACUCUUAAGAUUGAUUUUAGAAUGAGACAAACUCCAUAGAUUUGUGAGUACUCUUAAGAUUGAUUUUAGAAUGAGACAAACUCCAUAGAUUUGUGAGUACUCUUAAGAUUGAUUUUAGAAUGAGACAAACUCCAUAGAUUUGUGAGUACUCUUAAGAUUGAUUUUAGAAUGAGACAAACUCCAUAGAUUUGUGAGUACUCUGAAAGUGAUGUUUACGAGUACUCUCAAGAUCAAUUUUAGAAUGAGACAAACUCCAUCGAAUUUGUGAGUACUCUGAAAGUGAUGUUUACGAGUACUCUUAAGAUCGAUUUUAAAAUGAGACAGAACAUGAAAAAAACAAUACUAGACAAAAAUUUGGAUACAGGAAUAAUUUAGGAAUGAGAAAGACCAGUUUUAGCUUACAAGUCAAAAUCGCGUCACUUUCCGAGCAUAAACAAAAGCGACAUCAGGAUUUCCGAGCGACAUUUGGGGUUACGGAGAGACGAGGACUCGGCCGCCAAUCAAUCGUGAUCCGCUGACUGGUGAUUGACACAAACACACACACGGCUGGCCAACUCUCAACCACACGGAUAAUGCACCUCAUCCAUUUGGCUCAACCCGUGUAGCGAAUCAACGAACGAACAAACGUAUGCGGUUGCCCGUGUUAGGCGCUGAGGUAAGGUGGGAUGGGAUUAUGUUUGUCAGUGUUUGUGUGUUUUAAUGUUCUAUGGCGUGUUUUUUUAAUUUUUUUUAUUACGGCCGAAGGGAUUGGUAACGUUCGUUUGGACUUCCUACGUUUUUUUUUUGUUGUUGUUUGUGUUUCUGCGUUUGAUAUUUCCAGUUCAAUGACGUUUUUUUUACAUCGUUUCGAGUUUGUUUAUCAAUGUGUGCGUGGGUGUGGUUGGCGGACGCUUUAAAACACCGCUCGUAGUCAAAUCGGCGAAGGUUUUGUUUACGUUUGUGUGCUGUGUUUGUUUAUGAGUGCGUGUGUUUGUGAUUACGGUCGUAGGAUGCUUGAGUUUUGUUUACGUAUGUGUAUCGGGAGUGUUUUCAAGUGUGUGUGUUUGUGGGUACGGUCACUGGGGCGAAGUUAGAUUAUGUAUGUGUUUGUGUCGGGAAUGUUUCGUAUGUGUGUGUUUGUGGGUAUGGUCGUAGAAUGCUUGAAUUUGCUUACGUAUGUGUCGGGAAUGUUUUCGAAUGUGAGUGUUUGUGGGUACAGUCAUGGGGGCUAAGUUAUCUUACGCAUGUGUCUAUGUUGGGAAUGUUUCGUAUGUGCAGUGGUGGUAGAUGUGGUUAUGGGGGCUAAGUUAGAUUACGUAAGUGUUUGUGUCGUAAAUGUUUCGUAUGUGCAGUGGUGGUAGAUGUGGUAAUGGGGGCUGUUAGAUUACGUAAGUGUUUGUGUCGUAAAUGUUUCGUAUGUUCGGGUGGUGGUGGAUGUGGUUAUGGGGGCUAAGUUAGAUUACGUAAGUGUUUGUGUCGUAAAUGUUUCGUAUGUGCAGUGGUGGUAGAUGUGGUUAUGGGGGCUAAGUUAGAUUACGUAAGUGUUUGUGUCGUAAAUGUUUCGUAUGUGCGGGUGGUGGUGGUGGUGGGUACGGUUCAGGUUGCUACGCUCACAUCAUCUACGUACGCUGGGAUCUCCUCACUACGCACUUCUUGGACACUUGCUACGUACAGGCGCUGCCCCUACCCACUACGUAAUCCUUAACUCUCCUUCACUACGAUCGCGCGGCCUUCGGAAUAUAUUUGGAGUCUUUACAUUUUCGAUCAUCCUCCCUUCGGUUAGUCCUAUAAUUAACAACUUCAGAAUUAACAACAAGAACAGUUAGAGUUUGGUGAUCUAGACACACAUACACACACACACACACAUACACGCACACACUCACACACGAUAUAUAUAUACUCAUUUUAACGUACACUCGCACACACACACACUUUUAAGGGAGACAAGAUACAAACUACAGCAUCUACAGUCUUAUAUUAUUGCGUUUACUGUACUUUACCGCAUACGAGUCGCUGCGAUGGUAGUCUGUAAUGGGUUUGGCCGCGGUGUGAUCGUACCCAAGCUAGGCGAGUGUGGACUGAGUCAUUGCCCUCAUUCAUGGGGUUUAUCUCCAUGUGUUUAUAUGUCAACAGCGCCGCAACUACUGUGACCAUAUCCAGUGAGCUCUUCCUCAAAGAAUGCUUUUUAACGCUUCAAAACAUCAAGUAUCGUCUUCGGUGGUUGAAUAAUUAUUUUUACUUAGGUAGGCUAUUUUUUCAUCUAUUCUUCCAUCUGAAACCACGGAAAUUAGUUCAUAUGUUUUCUUUUGAGGCCGAGAGUUUGGCACAAGAUAUUUUUAAGAAGAUGACAGUGUAUUUUACAGGAGCAGUGUCUUGUAUAUAAAACUGGAGUCACAUCGUCUAUACAUUUCAAUAUGGAUAACACACAAUCUUUACUAAUUCUCCUUGAAAUAUAUAUGGAGAGAGGAAGAAAUACCUUUCCCUUCAACUCAAUACCACUGAUAUUGCCUCAUCUAUACAUUUCAGUGCAGAGAACACGCACUCAUUUCUCCUGAGGGGUACAAACGUAACAAGGAGGUGCUUUCCACGUCAAACCCACACUUGGGGAGGAGAAUUUUACGCCGGGCCGAGAGCUGUUUGUCUCGGCCACAGCGGGGAGUGUGCGAGAGGGUGAAAGUGCGACUCGUAGGCUGUAAAGUGCUGUAAUAUCCUUCAGAUUUCUCUAAGUCACUUGAUAUUUUCAGGGAGAGAGGGAGAGGGAGUGAGGGAGAUGUGUUGGAUAUCUUUAGGGCAAGGGAGAGAGGGAGGGAGAGAAAGGGAGGGAAAGAGGGAAGGGAGAAAGGUGUGUGAGUUAGUAUGUGCAUAGUUAAAGUAGUAGUAGUAGUAGUAGUAGUAGUAGUAGUAGUAGUAGUAGUAGUAGUAGUAGUAGUAGGAGGAGGAGGAGGAGGAUUAUAAGGUUACAUUAGGGUUGGAAAAGGGUGUGUAUUUUACCUAGUUAAAGGAUAGGGUGUAAGAAGGGGUGCGGGGAGAGGAAUAGAGUGUGUAACGGGGGGUGUAAGGGAGCGUAGGGGUCAGAAAAGGUGUGCGUGUGACCUAGUUAAUGGAUAGGGUGAAAGAAGGGGUGCGGGGAGCAGAAUAGGGUGUGUACGGGGGCGUGAGGAGUCAGAAAGGGUGUGUGUGUGUGACCUAGUUCAUAACGUAAGGGAGGGGUGCGAGGGGAGGGUGUGUGGGGGUGUGUGGGGGGGGGAUAACAAACACCGUGUGAGACAGACAUAAAACAACAGCGACAAGCACCACUACGCAAUACUUCCCCUCCGGUGUCACGCAUCUCUGGGGCUGCGACGCCUCCCUCUCGUCAGCCGGAAAAAAAUAAAAAAAUAAAAUAAAAAAUAGAAAACAGUAAUAAACGGGAAAAGUGAGCGCGGGUCAACGUCACCAGAUUGUCGUACUUGCUGUAUUGCGUUCGACGAUUUCCGAGCCAAAAACUAUCACACCCACAGAUGACGGUAUGCAUUUAUAAUCACUGUUAAAAUCAGUAAUUAUGGACGCUCUUUUUUGCAGUAUUUAUGGGGCAGAAAACGGAAAAUAUGAUGUUAUGCGUAAGUUCGCCGAUUUCGGACUCAAAACUAUCGCACCCACAGAGAUAAAAGUUUGGAAAGUUUUGUUUAGUCGGCGCAACAUCUGUGGUCAUGUGCCGGAGAGAGACAGAAGGGGGAGGAAUUAUAGGAAAAGUUUGGAAAGUUUGGUUUAGUCGGCGCAACAUCUGUGGUCAUGUGCCGGAGAGAGACAGAAAGGGAAGGCAACAGAUCCCAGGAGACAGGACACAACCCCCGAUUAAUACCUGGUACCCAUUCACUGCUGGGUGGACAGGGGCUUAGGGUAUCGGAAAAGCCGCCCAAAUUUUUCCACUCCGCCAGGAAUUAUAGGAGAAGGGGACCACAAAGUUAACGAUAUGCAUUUAUAAUCACUGUUAAAAUCUGUACUUAUUGACGCUCUUUUUUGCGAUGUUUAUGGGCCAGAAAACGGAAAAUACAGUGUCAUGCGUACGAUAAUCUGGCUACGUUGGUGCGGGUGUUGUGUUCGGUUUCUUUGGGGUUAGCCUCGGCGGGGUUUGGUUAAGUUAGGUUAAUACAUAGUCAUUUUUUGCAAUAUCAGACUUCGGUUUUGGCAUUUGGUUAGGUUAGUACGUAGUCACUUUUCUGCCACUAGGGACCAUGUUAGGCUAUCUCUUUGUGGGUCUUCUGUACCAAGCGUGAUUCUAUAUUAUUUACAUUUCUCCCAUUGCUAGAAAUACAUUGGUCACUUUGAUAUUUUGAGUUUUAUUUAGGUUCAGUUAAAACGCAGUUACUUAUUGCCACUAUGGACCAUAUUAGGCUAUCUCUUUGUGGGUCUUCUGUACCAAGCGUGAUUCUAUAUUAUUUACAUUUCUCCCAAGCUCAGAAAUACAUUAGUCACUUUGAUAUCCUGUUUUAUUUUGUUUUUCUUAGCUGGGUUUGGUUAGGUUAGGUUAGUACGUAGUCACUUUUCUGCCACUAGGGACCAUAUUAGGCUAUUUCUUUGUGGGUCUUCUGUACCAAGCGUGAUUCUAUAUUAUUUACAUCUCUCCCAUUGCUAGAAAUACAUUAGUAACUUUGAUAUUCUGUUUUAUUUUGUUUUUCUUGGCUGGGUUUGGUUUGGUUAGGUUAGUACGUAGUCACUUUUCUGGCCCUAAGGACCAUGUUAGGCUAUCUCUUUGUGGGUCUUCUGUACCAAGCGUGAUUCCAUAUUAUUUACAUUUCUCCCAUUGCCAGAAAUACAUUAGUAACUUUGAUAUCCUGUUUUAUUAAGGUUCAGUUAAAACGCAGUCACUUUUCUGCCACUAGGGACCAUGUUAGGCUAUUUCUUUGUGGGUCUUCUGUACCAAGCGUGAUUCUAUAUUAUUUACAUCUCUCCCAUUGCUAGAAAUACAUUAGUAACUUUGAUAUCCUGUUUUAUUAAGGUUCAGUUAAAACGCAGUCACUUUUAGCCACUAGGGACCAUAUUAGGCUAUCUCUUUGUGGGUCUUCUGUACCAAGCAUGAUUCUAUAUUAUUUACAUUUCUCCCAUUGCUAGAAAUACAUUAGUCACUUUGAUAUCCUGUUUUAUUAAGGUUCAGUUAAAAUGCAGUUACUUUUAGCCACUAGGGACCAUAUUAGGCUAUUUUUUGGUGGCUUUUCUGUACCAAGCGUGAUUCUAUAUUAUUUACAUUUAUCCCAUUGCCAGAAAUACAUUAGUAACUUUGAUAUUCUGUUUUAUUUUGUUUUUCUUAGCUGGGUUUGGUUAGGUUAGGUUAGUACAUAGUCACUUUUCUGCCACUAGGGACCAUGUUAGGCUAUUUCUUUGUGGGUCUUCUGUACCAAGCGUGAUUCUAUAUUAUUUACAUUUCUCCCAAGCCCAGAAAUACAUUAGUCACUUUGAUAUCCUGUUUUAUUAAGGUUCAGUUAAAACGCAGUCACUUUUAGCCACUAGGGACCAUGUUAGGCUAUUUUUUGGUGGUUCUUCUAUACCAAGCGUGAUUCUAUAUUAUUUACAUUUCUCCCAUUGCUAGAAAUACAUUAGUAACUUUAAUAUUUUGAGUUUUAUUUCAGUUUCCCUCAGAUGGGUUAGGUUAAGUUAGGUCACUGUUUGACGGCAUUCCGUUACCAAGCGUCCUUCUAUAUUAUUUACAUUUUUCCCAUAGCCAUAAGUCUGUUAGUAAGUUUGAUAUUCUGUCUCGUAACCUAAACACACGCCAAACAAAAUUCAACCCACGAUUUCGCCUUUUCCGCGCGCUCAUGUAAACUGCCUGGGGUUCCACAUAAACAGACAGACGGGGGAUCGUAACCUUAACACAUGCC